GAAAACCUUCAAUGCUGAAACUGGUAGGGUUAACAAACUGCCUAAAGUGAAAUCGCUUCCGGGCGUACCUAAACAACCAGGUGGAGUUGAGUGUGGCUAUUAUGUUAUGCGAUACAUGAAAGACAUAAUAGAGGAUGAGACACUUUCAUUUCCUACCAAGUGGGCGGUAAAGACGCGGAAGUCAUAUAGCCAAAAUCAAAUUGAUGAGGUGCGCAUUGAAGUGGCUGAUUAUAUGCAGAGUUUGAUGUAGGACUGUGACUGCCAAGAUGUUUUUUGAGUAAGGCUAGCUAGUUUUGGCUUUGAAGCAAAGCUUGGUGUGGAACUUUUGUACAUUGUUGCUCAUAUUUUUCCAAGCUUUGUUUUGUAAGUUUAGGGGUUUAUUUUGGCCCAUUAUGUUGAAUCAUGAAUUUGGAAAGAACAUUAAUGGAAAGCCCCUAAUUUUGGAUGAUGAG